UACGAAGGGGGCUAGCGUUGCUCGGAAUCACUGGGCGUAAAGGGUGCGUAGGCGGGUCUUUAAGUCAGGGGUGAAAUCCUGGAGCUCAACUCCAGAACUGCCUUUGAUACUGAGGACCUUGAGUUCGGGAGAGGUGAGUGGAACUGCGAGUGUAGAGGUGAAAUUCGUAGAUAUUCGCAAGAACACCAGUGGCGAAGGCGGCUCACUGGCCCGAUACUGACGCUGAGGUGCG
rnacentral:rRNA from 1 species